AUAAUACUCCCUCCAUCCGGAAUUACUUGUCAUCAAAAUGGAUGUGUCUAGAACUAAAAUACAUCUAGAUACAUCCAUUUCAAUGACAAGUAUUUUCGGACAGAGGGAGUAGUAG
rnacentral:pre_miRNA from 1 species